rnacentral:rRNA from 1 species
AAACCAACAGGGAUUGCCCUAGUAACGGCGAGUGAAGCGGCAACAGCUCAAAUUUGAAAGCUGGCCUUCGGGUCCGCAUUGUAAUUUGUAGAGGAUGCUUUGGGUGAAACGCCAGUCUAAGUUCCUUGGAACAGGACGUCAUAGAGGGUGAGAAUCCCGUAUGUGACUGGAAAUGUUAACCUAUGUAAAGCUCCUUCGACGAGUNGAGUUGUUUGGGAAUGCAGCUCUAAAUGGGAGGUAAAUUUCUUCUAAAGCUAAAUAUUGGCGAGAGACCGAUAGCGCACAAGUAGAGUGAUCGAAAGAUGAAAAGCACUUUGGAAAGAGAGUUAAAAAGCACGUGAAAUUGUUGAAAGGGAAGCGCUUGCAAUCAGACUUGUUUAAACUGUUCGGCCGGUCUUCUGACCGGUUUACUCAGUUUGGACAGGCCAGCAUCAGUUUCGGCGGCCGGAUAAAGGCUCUGGGAAUGUGGCCUUCACUUCGGUGAAGGUGUUAUAGCCCAGGGUGUAAUACGGCCAGCCGGGACUGAGGUCCGCGCUUCGGCUAGGAUGCUGGCGUAAUGGUUGUAAGCGACCCGUCUUGAAACAC